rnacentral:rRNA from 1 species
CGGGGGGUGCGAGCGUUGUCCGGAAUCACUGGGCGUAAAGGGCGCGUAGGUGGUGUGAUAAGGCUGUGGUGAAAGCCCGGGGCUCAACCCCGGGUCUGCCGUGGCGACUGUCAGACUUGAGGGCUCGAGAGGCAGACGGAAUUCCGGGUGUAGCGGUGGAAUGCGUAGAGAUCCGGAAGAAGACCGGUGGCGAAGGCGGUCUGCUGGCGAGUACCUGACACUGAGGCGCGACAGCGUGGGGAGCAAACAGGAUUAGAUACCCUGGUAGUCCACGCCGUAAACGAUGGGCACUAGGCGCUUGGGGGAUCGACCCUCUGAGGGCCGUCGCUAACGCAUGAAGUGCCCCGCCUGGGGAGUACGGCCGCAAGGCUG